GGAUGGAUUUAGUCUGGUUGGACUUUCUCAGGAAAGGCAGCUGAACUCAUGACUAGUACCAGUUCCAUGGUUCCUGGAUGUUGCAAAUAAAGGCAUCCUCUCUCACUGCCUGUCCACCUUUCUUACCCAGUCAUUGUCCUCCAUGGUGCAGAGAGGAUUGGAUCCAACAGCUCUCAGAACCUACUCAGGAACUAUGUGUUACCCAAGGAUUACCUGCACUUGCUUACACACCCCUAUUCUGUGUCCUGAAAACUUUUCAAAGCCCAUUCAUCUGAGACUGGUUCAUCCACAGAGCUUGUAAUUCUGAUUGGUGCAACAGUCAGGAAGAGUGAAAGAUGUCAUCUCCCAAGGACAAGUGCUGUGCUAGUGGACACUGAGGAACUUCAGGGAUCAAACCCUUCCCCAUUCUUCUUCAGCCUCUCUUGUUCUUCGUUGAGAUGUUUCCUGAAGAUCUAAAAGAUCCAGGCAAUCCAUGACAUGGGUUUGAACAUAAUCUCGACAUUUUAUUCAUUGCCUGAUAACUAAGACUAGGAAUGGCUCUGCAUGUGGUCAACACACACUACCCUGGAAGACCAGAGAGUUCAAGGACGGCCAACUUUCACUUAAGCAAACUUUUUCACAGAGUGUGUGGGUCCCAUCAGCAGAGAGUAGCCUCCACAUUGCAAUGAUGUGCAAACUUCUGCCUUUCAGCCAUGAUGGACUUUAGGAUCUACCCUGAGGACCCUCCACAAGCCACAGGUGGGUGAUGUGUAAAUUGGGCAUGUUAUUGGGUCAGGUCUUCAGUGCAGUGCCUUAAGCUGACAGCCUUUUGGGAGGGCAUAUGCUUCUCUAUUAAAUGAACUGGUUCCACUGUU
rnacentral:sRNA from 1 species